GUCAGCACCCCGCACUGAAGUGACGGGGCUUCAUGCCUCACCUUCAGUUAGCUGACCAGCCUAAGUCAAAACUUGACUACGUUUUUGGGGUCAUGACACCUACAAAUGCUUUCCAGUUUGUAGCUCUGUCGCUAGUCGUUAAACAGUUUUACGAGGGGUAAAGCAGUGUGGCUAGCCCAACAAGCCCUGAAAACAUUGGCGAGGAAAACAUUAC
rfam:Chroococcidiopsis thermalis PCC 7203 plasmid pCHRO.01, complete sequence.